GUGCUCGCUUCGGCAGCACAUACAAUAAAAUAGUAAUGAUGCAGAGAUUAGCAUGGCCCCUGCACAAGGGUGAUGCACAAAUUCGUGAAGCGUUCUGGGUGGCA